UUUGAGUUCCCUGGUAAGCGUGCAGAUGAAAUGGCAAAACAUUUUUACAAACAGAUAAGUGCCUCUGUUUUCGAAACGUUCCGGUUAAAUCACGACUGCGAUGGCAUCGUGUGCGGUUCUCAAGAUCGGCUGCAACAGGUGAGCGUGUAGUAGAAAUUCAUCUCGAUCGGCCAUCUGAACAUUUCGAUCGCCAGAACCACGUCAGAUGCUUGGAUUUGGGCCGGUAGGAGUGUCUCAACUACAAGCACACCCGUAAUCGUCCGCAGUCUGGGACUGCUGGUACCGGUUAUGACAGUCAAUUCCCAGGUGGCACCAAUGGUGACAAAUCUGCCACGACGAAACAUCCAGCUCAACGAGGUCGAGGUUGGAGAGUUCCAAAAUGUGCGAGAAAAAAAAAAAACAAAAUACCCAAUCUGGCGAUCGUCAUUCGCCACAGAAGGAAGGAUGUGGUGUUUGUGCGGUCCAGACCGGAACUAGCGGUGCAAAAUCGCUAGCUGAUAAUGCCCAGCUGCAGCCCCCAAACGACCCGGCGUAUUCGAGUAGCCUGUAUGACCGCGUACAUGACGUGGUUUAACGAAGCCUCGCCAAUCCAUCCAGUUUGAAGGGUUAUCACGAUCUAUACACGUGUACGUAGCUGUGCCGCUGGUCCCGGAGGUUGCUGAUAAUCUUGCCUUGCAAUACUGUCAUCACACCGCAGCACAGCCGAGGUCGUUUGCCUUAACACAAUUCAUCUACUUGCAAAAAUCCUAACUUGAUUUUCCCGUCUUGGAACGCAUUUGCCCCUCGCCCCUGGUGUUACCCUAUAAGAACGGUGGCCACAAGUUGACAACGAUCUAGCAUGUGUGAAUUAUCCCGAGUUCAGCGUUGCGCAUUGCGAGUUCUACAACUAAUGAAUAUUCGGCUCCAAUCCGGGCAGCAUCCGCCAUCAACAUUCCGACCCUCGUCGCGAUCCUGAUCGCGUGACCUUUCUUGCGAUAACUUAUCAUCAAGAAGAGGUUAUUCUGCGUGGUGCCUCAAAAUAUCUUCAAACCAUAACGAGAAUUACAUCGGAGAGUUAGAGAGCCGCAGACGAUCAUGGAUAUUUGUAAGAAUAGGCUCCCCACGGUCAUCAAUACGAUGGUGAAUAAAUGCCAGCCCUCUGGCACCACUGUAAACGUCUAGAACGUUUGACAAUCACCAAAACCUCGAAGAGCCCACGCAUUAGUAUGUGUGAAGAGCCCACCAUAAACAAUGCAUUGGAUAGAGAAUGUGCAUUAGUAUGUGUGAAGAGCCCACCAUCAACAAAGCUUUGGAUGAAGUAAUAUUGGUGUAUUCUGAUUGUUUACAUCAA